rnacentral:tRNA from 1 species
GGGAAAGUAAUAUAUAUAAGUAUAUAAAAUUGCAAGUUUUAACGAAAGUUUCCUU